UACAGGGGGGGCAAGCGUUGUUCGGAAUUACUGGGCGUAAAGGGCUCGUAGGUGGCCAACUAAGUCAGACGUGAAAUCCCUCAGCUUAACUGGGGAACUGCGUCUGAUACUGGAUGGCUUGAGUUUGGGAGAGGGAUGCGGAAUUCCAGGUGUAGCGGUGAAAUGCGUAGAUAUCUGGAGGAACACCGGUGGCGAAGGCAGUGUCCUGGCGAGUGACUGACGCUGAGGUGCGAAAGCCAGGGGAGCGAACGGG
rnacentral:rRNA from 1 species